GACGAACGCUGGCGGCGUGCUUAACACAUGCAAGUCGAGCGGAAAGGCCACUUCGGUGGUACUCGAGCGGCGAACGGGUGAGUAACACGUGAGUAAUCUGCCCCUGGCUUUGGGAUAGCCACCGGAAACGGUGAUUAAUACCGGAUACGACCACUUCUCGCAUGGGAUGGUGGUGGAAAGUUUUUUCGGCCAGGGAUGUGCUCGCGGCCUAUCAGCUUGAUGGUGAGGUAAUGGCUCACCAUGGCUUCGACGGGUAGCCGGCCUGAGAGGGUGGCCGGUCACACUGGGACUGAGGCACGGCCCAGACUCCUACGGGAGGCAGCAGUGGGGAAGAUUGGACAAUGGGCGGUAGCCUGAUCCAGCAACGCCGCGUGAGGGAUGACGGCCUUCGGGUUGUAAACCUCUUUCAGCAGGGACGAAGCGCAAGUGACGGUACCUGCAGAAGAAGCACCGGCCAACUACGUGCCAGCCGCCGCAGUAA
rnacentral:rRNA from 1 species